UAGGGCCAUAUCACAUUGAAAUACCGGUUCUUGUACGAUCACCGAAGUUAAGCAAUUUCGAUCCUGGUCAAUACCGAGAUGGUUGACCGUUUGGAAAUACCUGGUUUUGUAA